GGGAAGAUGGCCGAGCGGUUAUGGCGCUGCGUUCAGGCUGAAACUGGUCACUCGUGGCCGGUUCCAAGCAAAACCUGUUCAGUACUUCGCAGUGGAGCAAUCCUCGUGGGUUCGAAUCCCACUCUUCUCA
rfam:Microdochium bolleyi strain J235TASD1 unplaced genomic scaffold Micbo1qcscaffold_22, whole genome shotgun sequence.